rnacentral:lncRNA from 1 species
ACUGACAACAAUUGUUAGAUGCAGAUUCUGUCUUUCCCUUUUCGUCAAUGUGUUUCAGCAAUUUCACAAAGAACAGCUUUAACAGAUGAGUUACAUGUAACGGUAAACUUGUAACUGUGCGGAGAAAAACGAGUUGUCCACGGAUUUCCUAACCCUACGGUCUUUGCCGGAAUUAUUCUUAUUAACUGUCCCUCAUUCGUUAUUUGGUGGAUGUUCUUAGAACUAUGUCCAGCAAUGUAUAUAUUUCCCGCAAAGUCCAUUCCAAUUCCUCUUGGGGAUACGAGUU